UUGACGGGGCCGCACAGCGGUGGAGCAUGUGGUUUAAUUCGACGCAACGCGAAGAACCUUACCAGGGCUUGACAUCCCCUGACCGCGUAUGAAAGUACGUUUUCACCCUCGGGUGACAGGGAGACAGGUGGUGCAUGGUUGUCGUCAGCUCGUGUCGUGAGAUGUUGGGUUAAGUCCCGCAACGAGCGCAACCCCUACGUUUAGUUGCUAACGCGUGAAGGCGAGCACUCUAGACGAACUGCCGUUGACAAAACGGAGGAAGGUGGGAUGACGUCAAAUCAUCAUGCCCCUUAUGUUCUGGGCUACACACGUGCUACAAUGGCCGGUACAGACGGACGCAAAGCCGCGAGGUGGAGCAAAUCCUAAAAAGCCGGUCUCAGUUCGGAUUGCAGGCUGCAAUUCGCCUGCAUGAAGUCGGAAUCGCUAGUAAUCGCAGGUCAGCAUACUGCGGUGAAUACGUUCCCGGGCCUU
rnacentral:rRNA from 1 species